GAUGAAGAACGUAGCAAAAUGCGAUAAGUAGUGUGAAUUGCAGAAUUCAGUGAAUCAUCGAAUCUUUGAACGCACAUUGCGCCCGCCAGUAUUCUGGCGGGCAUGCCUGUUCGAGCGUCAUUUCAACCCUCAGGCCCCCAGUGCCUGGUGUUGGGGAUCGGCCCAGCCUUCCUGUAAGGCCGCCGGCCCCGAAAUCUAGUGGCGGUCUCGCUGUAGUCCUCCUCUGCGUAGUAGCACAACCUCGCAGUUGGAACGCGGCGGUGGCCAUGCCGUUAAACACCCCACUUCUGAAAGUUGACCUCGGAUCAGGUAGGAAUACCCGCUGAACUUAAGCAUAUCAAUAAGCGGAGGA
rnacentral:misc_RNA from 1 species